rnacentral:lncRNA from 1 species
ACAAGAUUUAGGCACUUGGCACUAGUCUGCAGUUCCUAAGCGCAUGCGCUUUACUCAAGCCCCCCCCCCCCAUAUGCUAAUCACUGCGCUCGAGAGUACAGCCUCUCCCAGGCAUAUGCAAAUCACUCCUUCCAGUGCCGGAGGCCCUCCUUUGUCCCGCGCUAGGAUUAUGUAAAUGAGAAGGCCUCGGAUCCAGGAUCCCGGCCGAGGGGUCGCCCUCCACCCACAACGCAUCCCAUUUUCAUAAAGCGCGUUCCAGCCACGCACACGCACGCGCGAGCCCUGGAGCUUCUCGAUCCUUCAGGCCGCGGACUGUACCAAGUAAACGCGGGCAGUGAGGGGCAAAGCACGGCAACCCGUGCGCGGGUUCCCUCCGUGGCCCGACUCGGAUAGCCCCUCUUCCCACAGUGCGACAGGAAUGGUCCAUCUGGCUGCGCAAGCGCCCUAGGCUCCUCACGCCCCUUGCUCUCCCUCCUACUCUGCUUGCAACGCAGGCGCAGAGUCUGGGCGUGCAGCCGCCACCGCCGAACCGGAGCUGGGGCCGCCAGCCCCGGUGAGUGUCCGCGGUCGGGGUGCGCGGGGCAUGCUGGGAAGCGGGCGCUACGGCCCCGCUGCAUGAUGGGAGCGGCGGCAGCCGUCACCGAGGAGCCUGCAGCGGUCUUGAGCCGUGAUGACCUGAGGGCAAGACCCGGACUCCUUUCCUUCCCCUACGCGGCUCCGCACGCUCCUGGGGCAUCCUGGGAAAGCCAGCACUGCGUCUUAACAGCGUUGGAGUCGGUCUGCUGGUCGUUAUAGGCCUGGUGUAUCCUGGGAAGGAUUACCCUAAAUCCCUGUGGGGGUCCGGUCCCUUUUGUCCUGCGCCCUCUACUGAGCAUCCUGGAAGUCGGCAGUGCUUCGGUGUAGGGCGUCUUGGAAGGUGGUCAUUAUAGGCCCGAAGCAUCCUGGGAAGAAUUGCCGCAGGGCAUUGUGGGGACCGGUCCUUAUUUUGUAUAAGGUCCUUGCCUUACCAUAUGUGCCAGUGCGUUCCUGCUGUUUUCAGGCGGGCCAUUCUGGGAAUAGGUUGUUGUAGGCUCAGGGCAUUGCUGGGUCCAGGUCACCGAUUUUGCCUGUUGGUUGUGACGGAGCUUUAUUUAUACUCCUUUAAGAUCUUGGGAGCCAAUCUGACCACCAUAGGUGUUGUGUGACUUAAGUGCUUAGUAUUCCAGAGUAUGGAAUACUCCGAAAGGCCCUUGUGUGAUGUGAGUUUGGGGAGGGGUGGGCUGGAAUGGUGGGCGUUGUCUUCAGGUAACCUCUUGCGAGGUCCUGAUUGUCCCUGUUGUACGGUUGCCAGAUAGAAUUAGAAUGUCCAGUAAAAUUUCAGGUAAAUAACAAUCUUAGAAAAGUACAAGGGUGCCACAGCCUGUGAUCUGAGCUACUCAGAAGGCUGAGGCAGGAGGAUUGCAAGUUCACAGCCAGCCUGGACAACUUAAAGAGACCCUGUGUCAAAAAUAAAUAAAUAAAUAAAUGAAAAGGGCUCAGUGGCAGAGCAUACCUGGGUUCAAUCCCCAUAACCCACUCACCUGUACCCCCCCAAAAGGAAGACAGAAAGAUCAUCCCAAAUAUUGCAUGAAUAUACAUAUAUUAAAUAAUUCUUAUUUAUCUGAAAUUCACAUUUAACUCGGUGUCCUGUUUUUACUUGCUAAAUCUGUCAUUUUUAUCCAGGCAUACUGUAGAAUUUCCAAAUUAGAAUUUCCUAUAUAUACUAGGGUAUUAUAAAAACUCUUCUUUGCCAAUUUUUAAUUCUCUCUAUCCUUACAAACUCAGAUCCAGAUAUCUUUGUGUCACUGGGGAUUGAACCCAGGGGCUUUCUACUACUGAGCUUCAUCCCCAGCCCUUUUAAAAUUAAUUUUGAGACAAGGUCUUUCUUAAGUUGCAAAGGCUAGCCUUGAACUUUUCAUACUCUUGCCUCAGCCUCCUGAGUAGCCGGGAUUAUAGGCAUGUGCUAUUGUGCCCAGCUUCCAAUUGUCUUCUUUAGGAAGUUCUCCUGCCAAGUUUCAUCUUUUUCCAGGCUUCAGUGUGAUCUUAAGUCCUCAGCAAUGAACUUGACCUCUGGGCUUUGAAGACAGGUAUUUUCCACCAUUGUAUCCCCAGUGCCUAUCACAGGCUUUGUCAUAUAAGGGGAUUUGCCAGCCCCUUCACUAACUGGCCCAGCAUGGCUCUCCACCAUUAGGGAGUGCAGUAGGAGAAACAGAAAGUACUAUCUAUGUUUUCAGGGGGGUCUUUUGGUAAAGAGGAAAUAAAAGAGAAGGAUUAGGAAAGUCUCCCUGGGAGAGGCAGAGUGUUUGGUCUGGGAAGAAGCGUAGAGGUUCCUGUGUUUGUAGUAGGCUUUGAAGGGUGAAAAGGAGAUCUCCAGAUCUACAGGGGCCAAAAAGGACAUUCCAGAGGGCGCACCAAGACCUCAGAUGUAAUAAGACCUGGUGUGCACAGGGAGAGGUGAGGAGCCUGGGAUGGCUGGAAGUUCAUGGAGUUCCUGUCACAUACCAGCAAUUUGUGAGUCUACCAAAUCUUCAAAAAAAAAUCUCUUGAGCCAUCAAAAUCAUUUUAUGAGAGGUAGGAUGACAUAGCUUCAAAUUCUAGUUUGACCACCUCCCAGAUGUUGUGAUCUUGGACUACUCAUUUAUCUUCUACCUCACCUUCCUCAUCUGUACAAAGAAGAUAAUGUCUCAACAUGGUUUGGAGGUUUGUGUAAGUCAAGGCCUAGAUACCUCUUUCAUAUAGAGAAGGUAGUUAGGUCCUUUGCUUAAAGCUCCCUAGCUAAAGAGUGACAGAUUUAGGAUACUUACCUAAACACUUCUCUUGACACUUGAUACACAACUAAGGCUGACAUUCACAAACUGGUGCAACCAUAUCAAUUGCUUAAUUUUUUUAAAAUGCAUUUUUCCACUGAGCUACAUUCCUAGUCCUUUUUAUUUUAUUUAUUUUAUUUUUUAUUUUUUAAUAUUUUUUUUUAGUUGUAGUUGGACACAAUAUCUUUAUUUUAUUUAUUGUUAUGUGGUGCUGAGGAUCGAACCCAGCGCCUCGCACCUGCUAGGCGAGUGCUCUACCACUGAGCCACAACCCCAGCCCCAUUUUUAAUUUUUUUAUUUGAGACAGGAUCUCAUCAAAAUGCUGAGAGUCUUGCCAAAUUGCUGAGGCUGACCUUGAUCUUGUAAACUCAGCCUUCUGAGUCACUGGGAUUACAGGUGUGUGCCAUGCUACCCAUCUUCAGUUGUUUCAGUUUUGAAAUACCAAGUACUCUGUAUCCCUAACUACCACUUUGGAUCCUCUUCCAGCCCUGGACCUCCCCACAAUCCAGCUCCAAAAGGGUUUAUGCCUGCCCCACUCUUUAAUUCUGAUUAGUGCGCCUAUGCCAGUAUCUACUGUUAAAUAUAUGGAAUGUCACCCUUCCUACCCCAUUGAAUAAGAACCACAAAACAAUCUCAUUGCCCGGAUAAGGAAAUUAAGGCCUCCAGAGGGUCAAGGGCUACAGCUGGGGCUCUGAAGACAGUCUGAGACAGAGCCUCACCCCAGCACUUAGCACACAGUGGGACUUGGAAUAGGGACGAGCACUAUGUAAAAAUUUAUUGAGUCACCACAGGCCUUUCCUUUUCCCUGUCCAGCAUCCCUCUCUACCUGCCAACAUCCUGUAUUAGAAGAAUUGGUGGCCGGAGGUGUGACUGAAGAGCUGGCCGGGAAGGGACACUGCCCAGCUGCUGCUCUUCUCCUGUCUCCCAUCCCCUCCCCUGGCCAUGACAGAGACUCGGGAACCAGCUGAGACUGGGGGCUAUGCCAGCUUAGAAGAAGAUGAUGAAGACCUCUCCCCAGGUGAGAUGGCUUUAGUGGUGGGAGUAUUGUCUUGACUAUUGUCCUGGCCUAGGGUUUGGGCUCCACUGGGAAAUUUUGAUUGGGAGUGGUUCCUUGUCUUGCUAUGCGUUCUGUCCUGACUGGAAGUUCUUUUCCUGCUAGGAGAUCUGUUCGCACUGAGACUCUUAGAAGUUGUAGGUUGGCCAGGAUCUUUCUUCCUCCUGGUGAUUCUAGAUUGGCUGUGAUCUGACUCCUUGCUGGAAGUUCUAGAUGGGCUAAGGUCUCUCUCCUUGCUGCCACUUCUAGAAUGGCUGUGACUUCUUUCCUCACUGGGGGUUCUUGACCAAUUGUGACCUCUUUCCUUUCUGAGGGUUCUAGAAUGGUUCUGACUUUUCCUCCUCCUGUGGGUUCUAGACUGACUGUAUCUUCUUCUAUGUCUGGGAGUUCCCUUCCAGUUGUGACUUCUUGCCCUACUAUGAUUUCUCUUCCAACUGUGACUUCUCAUCCUGCUGUGGGUCCUCCUCCAACUAUGACUUCUCGUUUUUCUAGGGGUUUUAGAUCCACUAUGACUUUGGGUCCUGCUGGGGGUGCUGGACAGGCUGUGACUCCAGGUCCUGCUGUGGGUGCUAGAGAGGCUGUGACUUCUUGUCCUUCUGGGGUUGCUGGACUGGCUGUGAUUUCGGGUCCUUCUGGGGGUGCUGGACUGGCUGUAAUUUCGGGUCCUUCUGGGGGUGCUAGACUGGGUAUACGUCUUGGUCCUCUUGGCCACUUCAGUUGGGCUGUAACUUGGUUCCCUCUUGGGGGCCGUCAUCUGACUAGAACUCUUCACUCUCCUUGUUGGUGUUGGAGACUGGCUGUUGCCCUUCCCCUGAAAGGGUGUUCUAGUUGGGCUGUAACUCUUUGAGCGGCUGGGGGUUACAGGCAACCUGGAACUGCUCCCCACACCUAAGGCUUCUCGUGGGCCAUAACUCUUUUUCCUGCUCAUAUUUUUAAGCUGGCUGUCGCUCUUUUCCUGGGUGUUGGUUCUAAGCCGGCUAUAACUCUUGUCCCGACUCCAUUUUGGAUGGGAAGUAGGAGUUCUCACCCUUUUAGCUAAGCCUGAUUUGGUACCAUGAGUUCUCAUCCUGCUAGGAGUGCUGGCCCUGCUGGGUGACCUCGUAGAGCUGCGACUGCUCCUUCUGCCAGGUGUGCGGCCCCGGCUGUGCGUGCCUUUCUGAUGAUGGUGUUUUGUGUUGCUGGUCUUGCUGCCUUUGCUGGUCCUUGUGUCAGUGCUUGCCCUACUGGGCGUUCUUACUUUAUUGCGGACUUGGGACUUGCUACGGGACUGGUUAGAAGUGGCCGGCUUUGUACUUGUUGAUUUGGUGGACUUGGAACUACUUGGGCUCAUGACUGAGUUGGGGGAUGUUGAUGGCUUGGGGGCUACUGAGGAGGUGUUGGGCAUUGCUGAUUUGGUGACCUUCAAGGAGGCAGGAGAUAUGGGAGCCGUAUCUGGCAUGGAGGAUCCAGUAGAAGCCACAGACGUGCUGGGCUUUGAGGAUCUCUUAGGUGAAGGCAUGAUGGGUGCAAAAGGGCUUGUGGUCCUAGAAGUCAUGGUGGACAUGCAAGACCUGGUAGCCAUGGAUAGUGACCUGAUUGCCUGUCAUGGGCCCACUGUGUGAAGUCAUAGUGGGCACUGAAGCAUCUGGAGGAUGGACAGUGUGAAGUCAGGCGUGAGAGAGCAGAGGGACCCUGGUCCAAAGUUGGAGAUAUUGCCACCGUUUUGUAGCUAUUCAGCAAAUGUCUCAGAGACAGACAUGCUCAGCAUUGCUGGAGACACGGAGGGGUUGGUGAUAGCCCUAGCCCUUCCUCGAAGAGUCUUCAGCCUCCAGACCUGCUCAGUCACUGCCCAAGGUGGUCAGAGUGUGAUAGGGGUCCAGUGGUUGAAGGAAUCCAGUGAACAAACAUCAACCACUGGGGGCUGGGUGAACUUUGCAGAGGAGGUAGCAUGUGAGCUGGGCCUUGAAGAGGAGCAGUUAUUGUCCACAGAGUAGGAUAGGGUCCCCUAGGGAGGGAGGUCAGAGCUCGGGCCACUGUCAGCCAUUGACCUGCACGUCCUCUGCUAGACAGUGGUGGGACCUGAGGUCAGAACUGCCCUUGAGGGGUUCUCAGUCUGAUGGGGGAGACAUAUGAGGUUCUGGAAGCUACACUCUAAGGACAGUUAUGGGGGACCUGGGACCUUAGGUGGGGUAGCCAGGGCAGAGUGAGUUUGGGAGAGACCCCUGGAUGGUAGCUGGGGGAAUCAGGGUAAUGGCUUCAGGGAGAACAGCCCAUGCUGGGUCCUGAAAAUGACUAGGUGACCAGGUGGAAAGAGUCGGGGACAGCAUUCCAGGCACAGGGAUCAGUACACAUCAAGGCCUCAGGAAACGUUUGGUAAACAGCAGGAUGUAGCAGGAUGGGGCACGAGCAGCCAGAGCUGUGGGAGGCUGUUCAGCAGGUAUUCGUAACCUGUUCUGGGCUGGUGAGGACAGGGACCCAGCAGUGAGCCACACAGGACUGUCCCUGGUCUGGUGGGGAUGGAACCUGGACACAAAUGCAUAGCCCUUUGGGCUCAGAGCUGGGGACAGCUGGGACAGCAGAAGCACAGUAGAAAUGGUGAUUAGCUGCCUGGCGUGAGGAAGUCUGGGAUAGUGUCACCAAAGAAGGAGCCUCCUCCUGGGUCCUCACUGGAAUCUAGGGCAGGAUAUUCACAGCCGAGGGAAGAGCCAUGUUUCAGAAGAGGCCUGGAAGAUGGAUGCAAAGGUCUCCGUUCCACAAACACGCAGGCACUAAAACGCUAGAUGUCACGCCUCAUGGUGAGCCUCGGUCUCUGCUCUCAGGAACAGACGGUGCACACCCCACAGGCAUGUGCUGUGAGCAGUGAGACGGAUAUGAAAGAAAAGUGGAGUAAGGGGCAGAGGGAGGGCUGGGGAGGACUGCUGGUACACAGGGUAAGUGACUAGGGAGUUCCUGAGAAGGUGACAGUGGAGCAGAGUUGAGGAGAAGAGGGAGUGAGUGUGGUCUACAGCGAAGGCUCUGAGGUGGGUUCAUUCCGGGGGUGUUGAGAGAUAGCCAGGAGCCCACUGUGGCUGGAGAGGACAGAAAAGGAGGUCAGAGAGGUGCCAGAAGGCCUGUGGCCACUGUUCUGUUGCGGGCAGAGCACAGGUGCCCUGGCCAGCUCCGAGGAAGUAGGGUCCUCGGGCGGUGGAUGAGGGUAAGGUUGGUGCCGCCCCCGAGAGUCCUUGGGCAGGGCCCUCCCUGGCAGCUGAGGAAGCCACUGUUUCCCUGUCAUCGUGGGGUUUGCUCUGCAUGUGCACCCCCAGACCACCUGCUGAUAACACCCUUUCCUGUAUGUCAACUUCAAAAUGUCCCCUUUUCUUAAACCUAAACUUGUCCUAGGUAUGUCCUUCCUACCCACGAAAUCACCGUAAUGUAUCUAUACUUAGAAAAAAAUGUAUCUCCUCCACAUGACCACAUACAUCCACAUACAUGCUUAUGUGUGUAUGGUUUCUUCCGCAAAUGAUGUUAUGUGUGUUUUAAUUUGUUUAACUCCCUGUUCAAAUGCGGUGGGUGUUGGCCAGCACCUAUGUAGCUCUCUGUGUCAGCCGAGCGGAGUCCUGCUGCUCUGUGCCUCACUUUCCACAUUUAUCAGGUGGAGUAACAGUGGUACCCUCCUUCCAAGGGUUGCUUUAAGCUUUGCCAUGUGUGUGUGUGUGUGUGUGUGUGUGUGUGUGUGUAGAUAAAUAAAGAGCAGGACUUUUAAAAUAGCAGUGAAUGCUUUAUUGUUGCCGCUAACCCCACUCCACCCCAGACGCGGUUCUUGCUAGACAUUCAUUCUCUGGACACACAGAUAUGGAGCAUCUACUGUGUGCCAGGCCCAAUUCUGUGCCCCGAGGCCCCAUCUGUGGAGAAGGAAGAUCAUGCCGGGCUGCCCUCUCCAUCCUACAGGUCUGAAUGGGGGCAGUUGGGCUUAGCCCUUUGUCCUCUGACACCACUCUCUCCCCUCGUCUGUCCUGACAGGCCCUGAGCAUUCCUCUGACUCCGAAUAUACUCUCUCAGAGCCGGAUUCUGAAGAAGAAGAAGAUGAGGAGGAGGAGGAGGAGGAGACCACUGAUGAUCCCGAAUAUGACCCGGGCUACAAGGUGAAGCAGCGCCUUGGGGGAGGCCGGGGAGGCCCGUCUCGCCGGGCCCCCCGUGCAGCCCAACCCCCAGGUCCCCCAGCCCAGCCUUGCCAGCUCUGUGGCCGCUCACCGCUUGGGGAGGUCCCACCGGGCACCCCACCUUGCCGGCUCUGCUGCCCUGCUACAGCUCCCCAGGAAGCACCAGCCCCUGAAGGGAGGGCCCUCAGGGAGGAAGAGGAGGAGCCACCCCGAGCUGGGGAGGGACGGCCAGCUGGGCGGGGGGAGGAGGACGAUGAGGAGGAGGAGGGCACUUACCACUGUACAGAGUGCGAGGACUCCUUUGACAACCUCGGCGAGCUCCACGGCCACUUCAUGCUGCAUGCCCGGGGUGAGGUGUAGGCAGAGCCCCCCACCCAGGGAGCUGGGCAGAGGGGUGGGGUGGGAGGAGGGGGCUGAGGAAGCCAGCGUGGUCAUGGGGAGUGGGGUACCGCUGAUCUGUGUUGUCUUAGUAGUAGACAUGUGAAGGCCGGAAUAAAAGGCAAAUUCUGUGUGUGCUGGCCUAGCAUGUGUUUGGUGGGGGGUGCGUGUGUGUGAGAUAUAUGAUACACACCUGGGCCUUUAUCCCCACCCCCACCCCAGGCUUCUCCUUAUGGCACCUCAGGGUCACCGUGGCCAGGAUGACUCUCCAUUUCCUAACGGCUGGCCAUCUGUGUGGUUCAUGUAUUUACUCGUAGACUCCAGGAUGAAGAGGCUCCAACACAACAGAAUUUUGUUUCUCACUCAUUUAAUAGUCUCAGGUGGGUGAUUUGGUAACCAGGCUGCCCCUUAAGACUAUCAUCACCCACACAGGGUGGGUGGCCACACUUGGGCCCCACUGGUGGGGGAGGACAGGGAGCCUGGAAGUUCUUCUGCGAGCCCUGGCCUGCCUUAACCAAGGAGCCAACUGCAAAGCAACCUGGGAAAGGCAGUCUAGUUCAGGCCCCAGAAAGUAGGAUAUGGUUUGUGGGGGACAGCUAGUGUCACAUUGCCUGAGUACCUCACAAAGAGGACUGCCAUCAGAAUCAUACAAGGCUUUGCAAGCAUUUCCUGAGAGUCUCGUUCUGGGCCAACGGCUUAAUGUAUAUGGACUCAGAAAUUAUGCAUCUAGGAACUUACAAAAAUAGAAACUUCAUGAUAAUUGUAGCUCCCAUCUUCCCAAGACUUGAACAGCGCUGUACUUUAUUUGCAUGAGAUCAUCUGGUUCUUGAAAUAACUUUGUCAAGUAGGGAUUGUAAUGCAUUUCAUUUAACAAAUAAUUUUUGAUCACCUGCUGUGUGCUAAGCAUUGAGAAUGCACCAGUGAAUAAGAUCCUUGUCUUCGUGGAGUUGAUGUGGGGUGAGUAUGGGCUGCCACUGGAGACAGACAGAAAACAAAUGAGAUACAGCAAACGCUGGAUGGUGGUAAAUGCUGUAGAGAAAAUAAAGGAGAGGGAGAGAGGGGAGAACAGUUCUGGAAGGGGUUGCCCUUUUAAGUAGCAUAGUCUUCCCUGAGAAGGUGACCAAGACCUGAAGGAAGGAGGGAGGGAGCCGUGCUUGUAGGUGGAGGAGAGAGAUGCAGUUGAGUGGAGUAGGAGCCCACCUGGGAUGUCAGGGAGACCUGAGUGACAGCAAGGGAGGGAGGAGGGCUGAGCUGAAGGAUCAGUGAGGGUCAGAGGGUAGCAGAGGGCUGGCUCAUUGCAGCCUUGGUGAAACCUGGGCUCUCUGGUAUGGGAAGUACUAAUUGGCAGAGGAUUGGCACCAAAGCUGCUUUGAAAAAUAGACACCUAAUCAUGGUAGUUACCGUUUACUGAACAUUUAUAUGUGCCAAGCCGUGUUCUCUGGUGCUUUACAUGGGUUCGCUCAUAGAAGCCUGGCAACUAAGAACCUCCAAGAAUAGGACCUGAAUUACCAUAAUGGCAUCAUUAAGUCAACACUGCCAGCGGACCAGGCCCUGGGCUAAGUGCUUUAUGUGAACAAAUACCUGGGAUCCUUAGGAGGUAGGGACUGUUGUGGUUUUUUCUCAUUCAUUCAGCAGUGCUUUAUCAAGUACUUGUGAGAGGCAGGCACUGUUCUGGGAGCUAGGAAUGCCGCAGCAAACAGAAAAAAAACCUCUGCCUUCACGGAGGUUACGUUACAGUGGGGAAGACAGUAAGCAGAUGAUUAAGUAAAAUAUACAAAAUGUGUAGAAGGCAGAAGAAAUAGGAAGUGUAGUGGGAAGCUGGUGUGUGUGAAGGUUGUAGUGUUCAACAUGGUGGUCAGGGACCACUGAGGUCAAGUACCUGAGAAGGUGACAUCAAAUCAGGACCUGGACAAGGGAAAGGAGUGAGCCACUGGGCUGUCUGGGGAAACACUGAGUGCAAGAGUCUGGGGGGCCUGCUUGGGAUGUGUGAGGAAGUGCACGAGGCGCCAUGAGCUCUGGGAGCAAGGGGAGGACUGGUAGGAGGUGGGGCAGCACAGCAGAGGGCUGUGCCAUGUCGGCCGUGGCACCUUGGCUUCCUCUGAGUCCUCGUAGUAACAUAGGGGCAAUUUUCAUGACCAUUUUAUAGCUGCUGUAGCAGGAAUGUACAGCCAUUGAGUUACCUGCUAGAAGUCACACAGCCAGUGAGAAGCAGAGCUCAGGUUUUAACCCAGACAACCUGGUGCAGGGCAUAGGUUCCACUACUGAGCUGCACACCACUGUGGCUGCCCACAGCUAGUCAGGCUGACUUGAAAGGAUGUAGCUGUCUCUACUGAGGGCUUAUUUUUUGCAGUGUUGAGGAUUCAAACUAGGGGCAAUGUACUACUGAGCUACAAUCCCAGUUAUUUAUGUUUUAUUUUUUAUUUUGAGAUGGUCCUCCUAAGUUGCCGAGGCCAGCCUGGGACUUGUGAUUCUCCUGCCUCAGCCUCCUCAAUAGCUGGGAUUACUGUCACACGCCACCAUGUCUGGCUAGCUACUGAAGUUUUUAAGAUCACAUUGAUUACCAACAUUGAAAAUUGGGAAAUUUCACAUAAAAAUGGAAGUUUCUGCCUUCUUGAAAAAUUAUGAGAGUGGGACUCCCUCCCAUGAGGCAGUAGUUUGAUAUACUGACUGGGGGCCACCUCCUAUGGGAGAGGCAUUCAUUCUGGGGUGCCCCAUGCCUGACCUGCCUGGCACAGAACA